rnacentral:snoRNA from 1 species
UAGCAAGCCUCCAGCGUGCCUGGGUCUGUGUGACCCCAGCGUUCCUACGGCGCUUGCCAGAGCAGUGUUGAAACAGUUUGAGGCCUUGCCCUGCUCCAUCCAAAGCAAGGUUAUGGAAGUUUCAGACAGUU